GCCGGGUGUGGUGGUGCACACCUGUAAUCUCAGCUACUCAGGAGGCUGAGGCAGGGGAAUUGCUUGAACCCAGGAGACGGAGGUUGCAGUGAGCUGAGAUCGCACCACUACACUCCAGCCUGGGUGACAGAGCGAGACUCUGUCUCAA
rnacentral:SRP_RNA from 2 species